CCUACGGGCGACAGCAGUGAGGAAUAUUGGUCAAUGGGCGCGAGCCUGAACCAGCCAAGUCGCGUGAAGGAAGACGGCCCUACGGGUUGUAAACUUCUUUUGUCGGGGAAAAAAGCGAGGCACGUGUGUCCUUUUGAGUGUAUCUUACGAAUAAGGAUCGGCUAACUCCGUACCAGCAGCCGCGGUAAUACGGGGGAUGCGAGCGUUAUCCGGAUUUAUUGGGUUAAAAGGGAGCGCAGGCGGGGGUGCAAGUCAGGGGUGAAAUUGCGGGGCUCAACCCCGAAAUGCCAUUGAAACUGGAUGCCUUGAGUGCAGGAGAGGUCGGCGGAAUUCGUGGUGUAGCGGUGAAAUGCGUAGAUAUCACGCAGAACUCCGAUUGCGAAGGCAGCAUACUGGCCUGCAACUGACGCUGAUGCACGAAAGCGUGGGUAUCAAACAGGAUUAGAUACCCGAGUAGUC
rnacentral:rRNA from 1 species